rnacentral:rRNA from 1 species
UGGGGAAUAUUGCACAAUGGAGGGAACUCUGAUGCAGCGACGCCGCGUGAACGAAGAAGGCUUUCGAGUCGUAAAGUUCUUUUAUAUGGGAAGAUAAUGUCGGUACCAUAAGAAAAAGCCCCGGCUAACUACGUGCCAGCAGCCGCGGUAAUACGUAGGGGGCUAGCGUUGUCCGGAAUCACUGGGCGUAAAGGGUUCGCAGGCGGAAAUGCAAGUCAGGUGUAAAAGGCAGUAGCUUAACUACUGUAAGCAUUUGAAACUGCAUACCUUGAGAAGGGUGGAGGUAAGUGGAAUUUUUAGUGUAGCGGUGAAAUGCGUAGAUAUUAAAAAGAAUACCGGUGGCGAAGGCGACUUACUGGGCUCAUUCUGACGCUGAGGAACGAAAGCGUGGGUAGCAAACAGG